UCUAAUCUGUAAUUGCCUUUGUGGUGGGUCAUUGUAUCACUUUCUAAUGAAUGACUGAGAUUUUAUGAACUCUAUUUAAACUUUAUAUGUCAUCUGCUAUGAAAGAAAAGAAUUUAUUUCCAGUUUCUAAAGCACCAAUGAAUGAUAAAGCAGAUUCGUGUGUUUUUUAUGUGUUGUCUUUAAUCUCUAGAUUAUCACCAAUAUUUUUGGUAUUUUGACAGAAAAUAAUGAGACUUGCUGGUUACUGAC
rnacentral:lncRNA from 1 species